UCGUCCAAGUUGCUUGGAACAGCACGUCGUAGAGGGUGAAAACCCCGUCUGCGGCGACCUCGGCCGUUCACGAUGUGCUUUUGACGAGUCGGGUUGUUUGGGAAUGCAGCCCAAAAUGGGUGGUAAACUCCAUCUAAAGCUAAAUAUUGGCACGAGACCGAUAGCGAACAAGUACCGUGAGGGAAAGAUGAAAAGCACUUUGAAAAGAGAGUUAAAAAGUACGUGAAACCGUUAAAAGGGAAACGAAUGGGGUUAGCAAUGCGUCGUGCGAGAUUCAGCCGGUGGGUGGGCCAGGCGGGCGGUUGGCGGAUCUGAAUGGACCGCUGCCGUUCGGGUUGGUUUCCCGACCGUCGCACUUCUCGCAGGCGCGCGCCAACGUCGGUUAGGGCUGGGUCUCAAAGGCGGUGGAAAGGUAGGUUUGGACUCUCGGGCCCGAACUGUUACAGUCCUCCGUUUGUCAUGGCCCGGACCUGACCGAGGAGCUUGCGGUGCAUGCCGUUCGGCUAGGGUCCCGUCUUCCCGGUCGGUCGUCGAAUGCGGUGGACUGCGUGCAGUGCGCCGCGACUGCUGCCGGUCGCGAGGGCGGUGAUUUCGUACUAUGCACCCACGACGUUGGCGGUCAUAUGGCCUCAUCCGACCCGUCUUGAAACACGGACCAAGGAGUCUAACAUGUGUGCGAGUCUUUGAGUGACCGAAACUCCGAGGCGAAAUGAAAGUGAAGGCGACUCCGGUCGCUGAGGUGAGAGCCUUUUACAAAAAAAGGCGCAUCAUUGACCGANCUAUUCUACUCUUAGAAAGGUUUGAGUAAGAGCGCAUCUGUUGGGACCCGAAAGAUGGUGAACUAUGCCUGAAUAGGGUGAAGCCAGAGGAAACUCUGGUGGAGGCUCGUAGCGAUUCUGACGUGCAAAUCGAUCGUCAAAUUUGGGUAUAGGGGCGAAAGACUAAUCGAACUGUCUAGUAGCUGGUUCCCUCCGAAGUUUCCCUCAGGAUAGCUGGAACUUACGGCAGUUUUAUCAGGUAAAGCGAAUGAUUAGAGGUCUUAGGGUUAAAACAACCUUAACCUAUUCUCAAACUUUAAAUUGGUAAGAAGUCCGACUUGCUUAAUUGAAGCCGGACAGUGAAU
rnacentral:ncRNA from 1 species